rnacentral:rRNA from 1 species
UUAGGUUUGACCAUGGCUCAAGGAUGAACGCUAGCGGCAGGAGUAACACAUGCAAGUCGAGGGGUAUAUGUCUUCGGAUAUAGAGACCGGCGCACGGGUGCGUAACGCGUAUGCAAUCUGCCUUUCACAGAGGGAUAGCCCAGCUUAAUUUGGAUUAAUACCUCAUAGCAUUAUAGGAUGGCAUCAUUUUAUAAUUAAAGUCACAACGGUGAAAGAUGAGCAUGCGUCCCAUUAGCUAGUUGGUAAGGUAACGGCUUACCAAGGCAACGAUGGGUAGGGUCCUGAGAGGGAGAUCCCCCACACUGGUACUGAGACACGGACCAGACUCCUACGGGAGGCAGCAGUGAGGAAUAUUGGUCAAUGGGCGCAAGCCUGAACCAGCCAUGCCGCGUGCAGGAUGACGGUCCUAUGGAUUGUAAACUGCUUUUGUACGGGAAGAAACACUCCUUCGUGAAGGAGCUUGACGGUACCGUAAGAAUAAGGAUCGGCUCUGUCCGUGCCAGCAGCCGCGGUAAUACGGAGGAUCCAAGCGUUAUCCGGAAUCAUUGGGUUUAAAGGGUCCGUAGGCGGUCUUGUAAGUCAGACCUGAAAGCCCAUCGCUCAACGGUGGAACGGCCAUUGAUACUGCAGGACUUGAAUUAUUGGGAAGUAACUAGAAUAUGUAGUGUAGCGGUGAAAUGCUAAGAGAUUACAUGGAAUACCAAUUGCGAAGGCAGGUUACUACCAAUUGAUUGACGCUGAUGGACGAAAGCGUGGGUAGCGAACAGGAUUAGAUACCCUGGUAGUCCACGCCGUAAACGAUGGAUACCGGCUGUUGGGGGCAACUUCAGUGGCUAAGCGAAAGUGAUAAGUAUCCCAUCUGGGGAGUACGAACGCAAGUUUGAAACUCAAAGGAAUUGACGGGGGCCCGCACAAGCGGUGGAGCAUGUGGUUUAAUUCGAUGAUACGCGAGCUACCUUACCAAGGCUUAAAUGCAGACUGACCGAUUUGGAAACAGAUCAGUCGCAAGACAGUUGACAAGGUGCUGCACAGCUCGUGCCGUGAGGUGUCAGGUUAAGUCCUAUGCCGAGCGCAACCCCUGUUGUUAGUUGCCAGCGAGUUGUGUCGGGAACUCUAACAAGACUGCCAGUGCAAACUGUGAGGAAGGUGGGGAUGACGUCAAAUCAUCACGGCCCUUACGCCUUGGGCUACACACGUGCUACCCAGGCCGGUACAGAGAGCAGCCACUGGGUGACCAGGAGCGAAUCUAUAAAGCCGGUCACAGUUCGGAUCGGAGUCUGCAACUCGACUCCGUGAAGCUGGAAUCGCUAGUAAUUCGGAUAUCAGCCAUGAUCCGGUGAAUACGUUCCGGCCUUGUACACACCGCCCGUCAAGCCAUGGAAGCUGGCUGUGCCUGAAGUCGGUGACCGCAAGGAGAGGCCUAGGGUAAAACUGGUAACUAGGGCUAAGUCGUAACAAGGGUUCC